rnacentral:rRNA from 1 species
UACGUAGGGUGCGAGCGUUAAUCGGAAUUACUGGGCGUAAAGCGUGCGCAGGCGGCUUUGCAAGACAGAUGUGAAAUCCCCGGGCUUAACCUGGGAACUGCAUUUGUGACUGCAUGGCUGGAGUGCGGCAGAGGGGGAUGGAAUUCCGCGUGUAGCAGUGAAAUGCGUAGAUAUGCGGAGGAACACCGAUGGCGAAGGCACUCCCCUGGGCCUGCACUGACGCUCAUGCACGAAAGCGUGGGGAGCAAACAGG